GAUGAACGCUGGCGGCAUGCCUAACACAUGCAAGUCGGACGGACAGUUGUGUUUCUAGUGCCGGACGGGUGAGUAACGCGUAAGAACCUGCCCCUGGGAGGGGCACAAUAACUGGAAACGGUUGCUAAUACCCCGCAGGCCGAGUAGCAAAAGGAGUAUUGCGCCCGAGGAGGGGCUUGCGUCUGAUUGACUAGUUGUCGAGGAAAUAGCGUACCAAGGCGCUGGUCAGUAGAUGGUACGAGAGGAUCAUCAGCCACACUGGGACUGAGCCACGGAGCAGAGUCCUACGGGAGACAGCAGAGAGGAAGUUUCCGCAAUGGGGCGAAGCCUAACAGGGCCAUGGCGCGGGGAAGUAGAGGGACCAGGGGUCGAGAAAUUCUUUUCUCGGAGAAGAAGCAAUGACGGUAUCUGAGGAAUAAGCAUCGGCUAACUCUGUG
rnacentral:rRNA from 1 species